rnacentral:sRNA from 1 species
AUCUUAUCUGUCGCCGAAGUUCAAACCAGAGUCCUCUCCUUUUAAUUUUCCAAGCUACGAGAUAGCCAUUUAGAUGUCUGCCGGGGUUGAAAUGAGUGACAACAUCGACCCUGAGCAACAGCCAAAACCCUGUGGGAAAGCUUAGGACGAUAGUGAUUUGCAGUCAUCAGCACCCUUGCCAUUUGCUCUGUUCAACUACUUUGUUGUUUUUUUCUCUAUUUAUUUUUUCUUGUUGGGAGGAGAGGAUUGAUAUGUCUAGCUUAUCUGCAGUAGCUAGGUACAGUACAUAUCCAUCAGUCACAGUCCUACAACUUUAACAGGAUCGCAAGUCCCACUUUUCCAAUUUAACUUAUGUUUUCUGCAGCUCAGGAAGCUCGAAAUUGAGGUCAUCCACUCAAUUGUCCUCUUAGCUCCGAAGAGGAGGGCAGAAUAACAUACAAACGUUGUCUGAAAAAUGGGAAGUUAUGACCAUUACAUUACAUUUUAACAGGGGUUUUCGGACCUUUCGACAAAAAUCCGCCGAAUCAUAGCUAUUCCACUUAAGAAUCAAAAAUGAAACAAAAUCUCACAACAAUAGAAUAGGGAGAAAGUAAAUCUGGGGAGCACAAAGGGAUAAUCGAGUAGGUGGAAAAGAAGAAGCAAAAGAACAAAAUUAAAAUAUAAAAACAG